AUCUAGGUGGUGCAGUGGAUAGAGCACUUGGUUUCAAAUCAGGAAAUCUUGAGUUCAUAUCUGACCCCAGAUA
rnacentral:tRNA from 1 species